rnacentral:lncRNA from 1 species
AUGGGACCUGAGAGGCCAUGGAACCUCCCUACCAAUUCCCCAUACUUUGCCCUAUUCAUCUCUUCCAUCUGUUGUUCCUGAGUUGUAUCCUUGUAUAAUAAAACCGGUCAUCAAGUAAGUAAAAGGUUUCUCUGAGUUUUGUGAGCUACUCUAACAAAUCAAUCAAACACAAAGAAGGAAUCGAAGAAACUGCCUGUCUGUAGCCAGUCAAUCAGAAGCACAGGUUGACAACCCGGACUUGCAACUGGCAUCCAAAGUUGGGUGAGGUGGGCAGUCUUAUAGGACUGAGCCCUUAAAAUGUGAGGUCUGAUGCUUUCUCCAGGUAGAUGGUGGCAGAAUUAAGUUGAAAUAUAGGACACGAAUGGUAUAUGAGAAUUUCCUGGUCAUGUGGGAUAAUAGAUUCAUCUUAAUCUCUAAGUUUUUAAUUUUUACACACUGCUGUAAAAUUUUUAAAACUUCAAAUUCUGAUUAUUUGAUAUUAUUAUAUAGAAAUACAAUUUUUUGUAUAUUGAUCUUGAAUCCUGAAAUCUUGUUAAACUAAUUCAUAGUUCUAAUAGAUUUUUAUAUAUUCAAUGGAAUUUUCUACAUAAAUGAUCAUGUCUUUUGUGAAUAAAGACAGUUUUACUUCCUCCUUUCUAAUAUGGAUGCCUUUUAUUUCUUCUCUUCCUAUAGUGAAUAAUAAACUAGAACUUCUAGUAUAAUGCUGAACAGAAGUGCUGAGAUUUGGCUGCUCAGAUCCUAAAUAUCUACUUAAGAAAAAUUUAAAUAUAUAUUCAUGUGAACAUUUGUACACAGAUGUUUUAGCAGCUUUAUUUGUCAUAGCUAAAAAGUAAAACAAUACAAGUUUCUAACAUGGGAUGAAUGAAUAAUAAUAGUAAAUUGUAGUAAAUCCGUAUGAUGGAAUAUCACACAGCAAUAUAAAAGAAUGAACUGUUGAUCUGCUGUAGGGAUGAAUCUCAAAAUAAUUAUGGUGAGUGAAAGAAGCCAGACUGAAGAGUAUAUACUAUAUAGUUUCAGUUAUAUAAAAUUCUGGAAAGUAAAAAUUAAUGAAAAUGCAGAUUAGAGGAAAGUAGAACAGUGGUUAUUUAGGCACAGGGAGAAGAGACAAUGGUAAGAAACUGGAAGAAGGGAUUACAAUGGGCAUGACAAAACUCUGGGGGUGAGCAUAUUUUAACUAUCUUGGCUGUGGUUAUGUUUUCAUGGGUGCGCAAAUAUGUUAAAACUUACCAUUUUAUACAGUUUAAAUAUGUAUAGUUUAUUAGGUACAAAUCAUACCUUAAUAAAUCUGUUAAAAAUAACAUUUAAAAAAAAAAACCACUACAGGGAAUUAUUGGAGUUACCAUUACCUGGCAGGAAGUAGAUAUAAUUUUUUUAAAGGCCACACCCACUGCAUAUGGAGGUUCCCAGGCUAGGGGUCGAAGCGGAGCUGUAGCAAAGCUGGAUCCUUAACCCACUGAGCAAGGCUGGGGAUCGAACCACAACCUCAUGGUUACUAGUCGGAUUUGUUUCUGCUGCACCACAGUGGGAACUUGGAGAUAUAAAACAUUAAGUAUACUGUAUAAUCACAUGGUCAGAAACUCCCUAAAUGUAGCCCAAACUCUGAGAAAUCCAAGAGCAAUUAUAAGGCCUAAUUACAAAGGUGCUUAAGUGGCAAAGAAGGAUAUACUAUCAAUUGAAGUGUCCUGCCUGACUUGGGAAUUUUGAGAGGCAAUAUUUCCCUCGAAACAGAAGUAGUUGACCAAGACAGUUUUUUGCACUUUUGUCUGUGUAUUAUUAAUUGUUUGAAUUCAGUAAGUUUUAGGCUCACCAACUUAGUAUUUUAUAGUCAAAGCACAAUGGAUGAGAGAAGAGAAAUCAAUGCCAUAUCAUUCUACUAGUCAGGACUCAUUCUUUCUUUUAUUUUUAUUUUUUGAUGGCAUACAGAAGUUCCUGGGCCAGGGAUCAAAUCCAAGACACAGCUGCAACCUACACCAUAGCUGCAGCAGCACAGAAUCCUUUAACCACUGCACUGGGCCUGCACCUCUGCAGCAACCCAACACUCAGCAGUCAGAUUCUAAAUGCACUGUGCCAUAGUCUUGGGAACUCCAAGGCUCUUUCAAUUGCUAGGGAUAAAACCCCAUCUCAAACCAAAGUUGAACAAAAUAGAGAUUCCCUUAGCUUACAUAAAUGAAAAGCCUAUGGGUUUCUAGGUUCCAGCGUAAUGGAAUCCAGGUGCUUACAUAUGGCUCUCACUCUUCACAUCUUGGACAUAUCUUCUAGGCACAAUGAAGCGCUGCAGUCCCGAAGACCUAUAUCAUGCUUGGUAACCCCACAAAAGCAAGCAAUUUUCCCAAUAGUUCUAUCAGACAAUUACCAGGGACAGCAUUUCCCGAACUAAGCACUUAUAGGGACAGGGUGUUUGAAUUAGGUGUGGCACAUGUGUCUUCUUCUGCAUCCAGAAGAAGGCGUCACCCAUGCUCAAAUCAUGCGGCAGUGUUCUCAGGAAUGGAAGGAAUGUGUAAACAGAUAGGAUCAACAGAUCUUUUCUACAAUGUUCAAGAAGAUGAUAAUGCUCUCAAAGACAUAUCUACAAGGUACCAUAAAACACAAAUAUAACCAAGCGCCACAUGUAGAAGGCAAAGUGUAUUUGUGCCAUAGAUCAUCAGACAGCUCACUUGGAGAGUUAUCAACAAAAAACAUUUGGAGCAAUGAGGUUACAGAAGUCUUGCAUCCCUCCUUGCUAUUCACACUAUAUAUACUAUUAAAUCAAACUUCCUAAAGCACUACUGAAGAGCCUUAGGUAGCUCCUCAAUACUUACAUGAUAAGGCACAGGCAUUUAGUCUAAACUAUUCAAAGUCAGUCAAAAACACAUAUAGAUUAUGACCUUGGAUGAAAUAUCCAGUCUCUUUAAGUCUCAGUUUGCUCACUUUAUGUAAUGCCUACUUCAACGGAUGUUGGAGAAUUAAACUGGCCUAUCACAGUAUCUGGCUCAUAGUAGACACUCAACAAGCAUAGGAGAUAUUCCUCUGCAGAAACAGCCUUCUUCCUAUUACUCUCUUAUUAGUUCUUCCCAAUGCUUUCCUCACUCGGUAUGAGCUUGAUAAAGACAGAAACUCUGGAUGUUUUAUUUGCUGAUGGUCCCCCAGGGUUUAGAACUAUACUUGUAAUGCAGUAAGUGCCCAGUAAGCAAUUUGUUCAAUGAAUGAAUGUGUGAACAGCCUACUUUAACUCCGAUCUCGAAUAGUUAAUCAUUGGGGAGAUGAUCCCUGUUCAAUUCAUCUUUAUAUUAUCCCAUAUUCCUAGUUCAGAGCCUGGAACAAGUAAACAUUUGUUAAAUGAAUGACCAAAUGGUUGAAAACCAAACAAUUGCCUCAGUCCUCCAUUCUCCAUUCUCAAACACUAAUAGAGUCAAUGAACAUUUUUUAACUGCAAUCACCAUUAUCAUUCUUAGCAUUUUCAGCUCCAUAUUCAGAGGGGAAAAUGCUAUAAAUAAUAUGCCUUCAUAUUCAAUCAAAGAGACAUGAAACUAAAGUUAAAAGUAUAAAGAGUGACAUGUAUAUUACUCAACAGCAUUAAAAAUGUAAAGAUUGCUCAAAGAUUUGGAGUGCUUUUUUUCUCUUAAGCCUGUUUUUCAAUCCCAGACAAUGAAUAGUAAAUAGCAUGCAUUUAAUAAAACAUUUCUGAAGUUGGAGGAUAUGACUGAAUGAUCAAUAAAAUGUGCCUUUUAACAUAUAUGCCAGACUGAUAUAAUCAGUUUUUUAAUGAAUCCCUAGACUGCAGCAGAAAGUUUUAUAAAUUCCAAAUUGUGAGAUUUUUAUGAAAGUUAUUAGCACACUUGUUCACAAAGAACUUUAUGCCAUUCCCUGGGAUUUUUAACUCUUUUAAUGAGGCAACAGUUACAAAGAGACUUAAAGCCUAAACUUUAUUGGCGAUAUAGUAGAACAAAGAUCCAUUUAGCCAUUACUUAAGUCAUUCCCCAAGCACUUGCAUAUUGCAUAAGCAUGAUAAAAUAAAGAAGAGAUGAUUUGUUUUUUCCAAAUCCAAAUGGGACUGUGUGUUUGAACAUGAUUUGAGUCCAUGUUAGUAAAUUUCCUAAUGGAAAAAUAUGACCUCCUACCUUUAAAAAUUAAAUGACCUUUUGGGGACUUACGAAAAAGAGAAGCUCAUGCAAGUUUGCGAAUAUUAAAUGACCCAUACAAAACAUCUUGACGUAUUAGUCUAUGAAUCAAAAACAUCUGUAUCAUGCUUGGCUUAAAAUAUACAUUGAUUUAAAAAUAAAGUGGAAAGUUUUUGUAAAAAUGUAUGCUUUAUUUCAAAGAAUGUAAACCAUUAAACAUAUUAUUGAUUCUGUUCUAAAAUUUAAUUUAAUUCAGUUGCUUGAAAUAAAGCUUAAGAGAAGUCUACCUUGCUUCCUGAUACGGGACUACAUAGAAACUUCCAGCAGAAGGUUCUCUCUCUUUUUUUUUUUUUUUUUUUUUUUGCCAUGCCCUUUGCAUGCAGAAGUUCCCAGGCCAGAGACUGAAUCCGCACCACACAAGUGACCAGAGCUACAGCAGUGAUAAUACCAGAUCCCCAACCUGCUGAACCAUCCGGGAGCACCCAGCAGAGGGUUUGGACCUGAAAUCGGUUGACCCAGAUUGAUCUAUUAAUAGGCUUCAAGAAGUCUCUGAAACCCCUGAAACUGUGUUCAAAAUUUUCUGUAUAUAUGCAGAUGUGUUUUUAUUCGAACUGUGUUCAAAGUUUUGUGUGUCUAUGCAGAAUCGUCUUUAUCUGGAGUAGUUUCUCAAUCUUGGCAUUAUUGUUGUUUGAGGCAGAUAACUCUUUGCUGUGGGAGCUGUCCUAUGGACUAUAGGAUGUUCAGCAGUAUCCCGGGCCUCUACCCACAAGAUGCCACCAGUACAACCCCAAUCAUGACUAUCAAACAUGUCUCCAGAUAUUACAAUGUCCCAGAAAACCACUGUUUUGUUCAUUCCCUUUUUGGUUCUGGAUAAUUCUAUUUGGAUUGCCUUUAGCAUGACUCUAUUUCUCCUGAAAAUACUGCCCCUGUCUCUGCUCCCAUUUGCUAGUAAUUACAGCCUCCCAAUACCUAUCCUCUGAUACUCUUGACUCUUGUGCAGCUUUCUGACUCAUCAGUCCACAGACACUGUUCUUGCCAAGGUCUCCAUUGCUAAAUCCAGUGGUCUUUUCUGAGUUCCCAUCUUACUGUGCUCUUGUUGGCACUGAUCCCGUUGAGACCACUCUCUCCUUAUUGAUUCACUUUUUCCAUUUACUUCUAGACACCUAUCCAUUGGCUUUCCUCUCACCUCAAAUUUGGUCCUUCUCAGUCUCUUUUACUGAUUCCUCUUCUCCUCUCAGACAUCUUAACAUUGGAGAGUCUCAUGGCUCAACCUUUGGUCCUCUCCUCUUCCCUUGGCAACCUCAUCCCAUCAGGGUUUAAGUACUGUCUAUAUACUAAUGACUCCCCAGUGUUCCUAUCCAAGCCAGGCCUAGCUCCUAAAAUUUAAGUUUGUGUAUGCAAUUACACACUGAACAUCUCCACAUCACAAACUCAAGAUGUUUAAAUUGGUGCAAGCACUAUGAAAAACAGUAUGGAGGUUCCUCAAAAAACUAAAAAUAGAACUAGAUCCAGCAAUCCCACGACUGGGCAUCUAUCUGAAGAAAACCAUAAUUCAGAAAGAUACAUGAAGCCCACUGUUCAUUUAACUACUAUUUAUAAUAGCCAAGAUAUAGAAGCAAUCUAAAUGUCCAUCAACAGAUGAAUGUAUUAAGAAAAUGUGGUAAUAUAUACAAUGGAAUAUUACUCAGCCAUCAAAAAGAAUGAAACAACACCAUUUGCAACAGCAUGGAUGGACCUAGAAAUUAUCAUACUGAGUGAAGUUAGUUAAACAGUGAAAGACAACACCGCAAGAUAUAUCACUUAUAUGUGGAAUCUUUAAAAAAAAAAAAGGUUACAAAUAAACAUAUUUGAAGAACAGAAACAGACUCAGACUUUGAAAAACUUAUGGUUACCAAAAGGGACAGGUGGAAGGGGGAAGGAUGGAUUGGGGGCUUGGGAUUGGCAUAUGCACACUGAGGUAUAUGGAACGAUGGGCCAACAGGGACCUGUUAUAUAGUGCAGAGUACUCUACCCAAUGUUGUGUGAUAAUCUAUGUGGGAAAAGAAUCCGAAAGAGAAUGGAUGUGUGAACAUGUAUAUCUGAGUUGCUUUUUGUACAGCAGCAAUUAUCACAACCCUGUAAAUCAACUACACUUUAAUAACACUUUAAAAUAUGAAAGA